rnacentral:tRNA from 1 species
UGCGGGGUAGAGCAGUGGUAGCUCGUCGGGCUCAUAACCCGGAGGUCGUAGGUUCGAUCCCUACCCCCGCCA